GAAGCGGUGGCUCAAUGGUAGAGCUUUCGACUCCAAUUAAAUUCUGGAUUAUAAGGAGACAAUUGCAAUCGAAAUCGAAAGGUUGCAGGUUCGAUUCCUGUCCGUUUCA
rfam:Tetrapisispora phaffii CBS 4417 chromosome 10, complete genome